rnacentral:lncRNA from 1 species
AAUGCUCCCACGCUUGCCGCCCUCUGCUCUUUUACAGGUCUUGAGUUGUCGCUGGCCUUCCUGAUCACAUCUUCCACCCCCAACCCAUAUUCCCUUUCUCCUCUUCAGGCAUCUUGGCUGGCCAUGGCCCUCAGUCCUCUACCUGGUAGGGGACACAAACUUUCAUUCCGGAAGGGUCUGAGACAUUCAUAGUUCAUCUGGACUGGCUAUUUGCAGUUUUCAACUGACCUCAGUCACAGGACAUGGCAGUACUAAUAACAGACAGGACUUGGGGGAUCUCUUCUUGAACCUCGCUGACCAGAUGUUUAAAAUAUUUAGUGUUGUGUUGAACAUGGGGAGUCGGGCUAAAGGGCACCCAUGAGGCGUAAGCAUAUUGAAGAUGACUGUAAGAGGGGGACAAGAUGCUCACCUCCUGUUAUUAGUCUUGAUGCGUGUGGGACUGGACAAAGCAGAUUUAAAUUGAAGCAAGAUAAACUUGGAUCAGACAAAAAAGGGAGUCUUAAAGAAGAGCAGAUUUAGGUUCUGCAGGGUAUAAUAAAGACAGCUUUCAUUUCCCCCCCAGGAGAAGAUCAACAACAGGAGACAGAGGGACCCCUCUAGAGGCAGGAGGAAAGAUAAAUGGCCACAGGCUGCUGUCAUCUAGGCCAGGGUUCUGGCAGCAAUGAAAACACGUCUGCAGGAGGAGAAAGAAGUGCUUUUGAAUCCAUCUUACUCAUCGUCUGUCUCUUGUCUCUUCAAAGUGAAUGCAGUUGGAAGGAAAGGGACAGGCAAAUCCAGUGCUUUUCAAUUUUGACUGUGCAGCAGAAUCACCGAUGGAUUUUAUUUUUAAAAUAGGGGUACGUAUGUCUCAUCUCACCCAGGGUGAGGUCCAUGGAUCUAAUGUUAUGAAGCCCACAGUGGGUCCCAAAUCCCAGCUGAGCUCCAGGACUAGGAAUGUCACCCAGCCUCCCUGCUGUAGAGCUGCACCAUGGCUUUCGUUCUUCCCGUGGUGGAAACAAAGCUUGCCUAGAGUUUCUGGAUGCAGCAUCUCUCCGAAAACAAGCUGGGGCUCUGCCGCCCUCACUGGAGCACAGCCAGUGCUGUGGAGCCCCCAGAGUGGCCACAGGGAUAGAGGGGACUUAAAACUGAGUAGGGGGCAACAGAGUUGGGGGUCUAUCCACCACAUGUGGACACACAGCAAGUCAGGCAUGUGGGAAGGAGGGAACAGCAGCGUGGAAUGGAAAUGGCAAAUGUUCAUCCAGCCAGGUGUUAUUUUAUUUAUGGCUUCUGGGGAAAUGGGAUGAACA